rnacentral:tRNA from 1 species
GCUUCCGUAGCUCAAUUACCAGAGCGCGACGCUUCGAACGUCGGAGAUGAGGGUGAGAGUCCUUCCGGGAGUGCCA